ACGCUAUCUGCAUAAAUUUGCUCGGGGAAAAAGAAGAAAAAAACAGGCCACAUACGAACAAACACGUUAAUGAAGAAAAAUGGUCCCUCCUCCCUUCCUAUAUCCUAGAUCUAUAGAGGGAAGAAUAUGGUCCUAGUCCCUUAGGAAGAAAAUCCUUUGAAACAGAUUAAAUUAUUAUUAUGAUGCUUACCUUAUAUUGAACUACAAAAAGACAGGAUUUAUAUUCUCAGUGUUUAAAGCUGCAGGCAAAAAGAAAGAGGACGAAAGAAAAGAGUGAAAAAUUGAUGGACUUAGCCGUGCAUACAAUUUAGUAAUAGACACGCUAAUAAGAAUAUAAAUGAACUUAGUCGUUCCUAGGCACUAAAUGUAGUUUUUUGUUUGUUUACAACCCAAAAUAAUUAAAGUCAGAUAUAUCUUUCAGAUUUUCCGUGGGAAUCAUAGAGAUGGAUCGCACCUGAUGGAAAGUAAAUAUGAUUUUCUCCCAAAAGAAAGAGAGUAAUCACAUCGAGAGGUCCUGCUCACUGAAACAUGCGGUGAUUAAGAUCGGAUGUAGUUUAUUCUACGUCCUGUAUUUGUGAGCGUAAAGUGCUUCUGUUGAAGUUAUUCUUCAAAUGAGCUAGUGGAGCAUAACCAUAAAGCCUCUUUACCAAAGAUGUUCACUCUCACUCCCUCUCUCUGUGCAACAGCUAGAACCUGCUUUUUGAUCAUCAAGGCUUGUUAAUGCAUGCUGCCCAAUAUCGAUCCACUCAAACAUUCCAUCUUAUAUACAUCUCUCCCUCAUCUCCUUCCUUGCAACCUUUACCGUAACUACCAGCGUACGGACCCGUCUCUCUGUCCUCGCAACAUGGAUCGCCACUCCAUCUUCUUUCUUUUUGGACUCAUGUUUUCAUUGUCUCUUGCAUCACAAGCCAUCAGCGACGGACAUUUACAGUUUUUUUCUUUAAUGAAGAAGUCUCUCUCAGGGAAAUACCCGAUAAAUUGGGAUGUCACAGAAGGAAAACCUAUCUGCAACUUCACAGGAGUUGUGUGCAACAACCAAAGGGAAGUGAUCAAUCUUGACAUCUCCGGUUGGUCACUUGCCGGAAACUUCCCUCCAGAUAUAUGCUCCUAUCUGCCAGAGUUACGUUUUCUACGUCUCGGCCACAAUCGUUUGAGAGGAAAAUUCCUUGAUAGCAUCAUCAACUGUUCUCACUUGGAAGAGCUUAACAUGAAUCAUGUGUAUCAUACAGGAACCCUUCCAGAUUUCUCACCUAUGAAAUCUCUAAGGAUCCUGGAUUUGUCAUACAACUCCUUCACAGGUCAGUUCCCGAUGUCGGUAUUUAAUCUUACCAAUCUUGAGGUGCUUAACUUCAAUGAGAACGCUGGUUUCAACUUAUGGGAGCUGCCGGAGGAUAUGUAUAGGAUGAAAAACCUCAAGUCUGUGAUCUUGACGACAUGCAUGGUGCGUGGCCGAAUCCCUGCAUCCAUAGGAAACGUUUCGACUCUGGUUGAUCUUGAAUUGAGUGGAAAUUUUCUCACGGGUCAAAUUCCUGCAGAGCUCGGAAUGCUGAAAAACUUGCAGCAGCUUGAGCUUUACUACAACCAACUUAUUGGCAAUAUACCGAAGGAGCUAGGCAAUCUUACGGAGCUCAGAGACUUGGACAUGUCAGUCAAUAAGCUGUCGGGAAGUAUCCCAGAAUCUGUGUGUCGUCUUCCCAAGCUUGAAGUCUUGCAGCUAUACAACAAUAGUCUCACAGGAGAAAUCCCAGGUGUAAUAGCAAACUCAAAAACCUUAAGAAUAUUAUCUCUUUAUGACAAUUUUUUGACCGGAGAAGUCCCAAGAAAGCUGGGUCAGUUCUCAGGAAUGGUAGUUCUAGAUUUAUCCGAGAACAAACUGUCUGGUCCGUUGCCAACAGAGGUUUGCAAGGGAGGUAAACUGAUGUACUUCCUUGUUCUGGAUAACAAGUUUUCUGGAGAGCUACCUGACAGUUAUGCAGAGUGCUGGACAAUGUUAAGGUUUCGAGUCAGUAAUAACCAUUUGGUUGGCUCAAUUCCCGAAGGGCUCCUUGGUCUCCCGCACGUUUCCAUAAUUGAUUUGAGUAGCAAUAAUUUAAGUGGUCCAAUUUCCGAGACUAUUGGAAAUCCUAGAAACUUGUCAGAACUAUUCAUACAGAAGAAUAGGAUUUCAGGCGUUAUUCCUCCGACCAUCUCUCGAGCUACCAAUCUGGUCAAAAUUGAUUUCAGCAACAACCUUUUGUCCGGUCCAAUACCUUUCGAAAUCGGCAAUCUUAAAAGGCUGAAUUUGCUGAUGUUGCAAGGGAAUAGGCUGAAUUCUUCCAUCCCCAGCUCACUUUCCUUAUUGAAGUCCCUCAACGUUCUUGAUCUCUCCAACAACCUUUUGACCGGUAGCAUCCCUGAAAGCUUCUCUGAUCUGCUACCGAACUCGAUCAACUUUUCAAAUAACUUGCUCUCUGGUCCAAUUCCUACAUCGUUGAUAAAAGGAGGUUUAGUCGAAAGUUUCUCAGGGAAUCCUGGUCUGUGUGUACCUGUCUAUGCUAACUCAUCGGAUCAAAAUUUUCCCAUAUGUUCAAGGACUAGCAACAAGAAGAGGCUAAGCACUUUCUGGGUAGCAGGGAUUUCAGUGGUUUUGAUCAUAACUGGAGCAGCCUUGUUUUUGAAACGUAGAUGCAGCAAAGAGAGAGCUGCAGUGGAACAUGACGAAACACUGUCUUCGUCAUUCUUCUCUUAUGAAGUGAAGAGCUUUCACAGGAUAACAAUUGACCAACGGGAGAUCGUGGAGGCCAUGGUCGAAAAGAAUAUAGUGGGGCAUGGAGGGUCUGGUACAGUGUACAAGAUCGAGUUAAAAAGCGGUGAAUUUGUUGCUGUGAAGCGGCUAUGGGGUCGAAAGUCAAAGAACUCGGUUCCAGAUCAGGAUAGUUUAGCUUUAGACAAGACAUUGAAAACUGAGGUGGAGACCCUGGGAAAUAUAAGACACAAGAACAUAGUGAAGCUGUACUGCUACGUCUCGAGUUUGGAUUGCAGAUUGUUAGUUUACGAGUACAUGCCAAAUGGUAAUCUUUGGGAUGCUCUACACAAAGGUUCGGUCCACUUGGAUUGGCCUACUCGCCAUAAGAUUGCACUGGGGACCGCACAGGGUCUGGCAUACCUCCACCAUGAUUUGCUCCCUCCUAUAAUUCAUAGAGACAUCAAGUCAACUAACAUCCUUCUCGACGUUGAUUACCAACCCAAGGUUGCAGAUUUCGGGAUUGCCAAGGUAUUGCAGGCAAGAGGAGGAAAGGACUCCACAUCUACAGUUAUUGCAGGCACAUAUGGUUACUUGGCACCAGAAUUUGCUUAUUCUACCAGAGCAACUGUCAAGUGCGAUGUCUAUAGUUUUGGGGUGAUUUUAAUGGAACUGAUAACUGGGAAGAAGCCUGUGGAGGCAGAAUUUGGAGAGAACAGAAACAUCGUAUACUGGGUUUCAAACAAAGUCGACAGCAAGGAAGGGGCUAGCGAGGUAUUAGACAAGCGAUUAGAAGGGUCUUACAAAGAGGAAAUGAUUCAGGUGCUCCGAAUUGCCAUCCGUUGCACCUACAAGGCUCAAGCUCUUCGACCGACCAUGAAAGAGGUAGUUCAAGUGCUGAUUAAGGCAGACCCAUCUAGCAAAUUGUCCAAUAAGACCAAAGAAACAUCAAAUGCCACUUUGACAAAGAACUCAUCAUUUGAACUGUAGCCAAGCGAGGGCCUAAAGGGUUAAAGAGGGAGCUAUACUGCAACUAGAUAAGCAGUCUCUCUCGUAGUAGUUGAGAGAUGCAUUAAACAUAACGACUUACUUUCAUCCUCCCAAGACAAGUAAUUUGUAAAUUCUAUCUCUAACCCGGACACUUUUCUCUCUGCUUCCUUUUAUCUAUACUAUUUUGACCUUGUAAAAACUGAGAUUUGAUUACUAUCCAUGCUAGUGUAAUACGCAUUAGCCAUAUUUCAUACACCCACUUGACAUCAUUCACCAACUCUCUCUGACGGAUUCUGUUUUUUCUACUUUAUUGCGGCUUUCUUUUCCUUCAUUCUUUUUCCUUUCUUCCCCCAAUAUAUGGUGGAUAGAGCUCCAAUAAAGGGAGAAUAUGUUGGUGAGGGCCAGAAGGUUGUCACUUGCUAUUUCUAUCCACUUGAAAAAGAUAAAUGGGAUGAUUGAUUGAGGAGCAUCUUUCUUCAUUUUGGCCAAGAAUUGAUGUUUAGGGGGCGGAGGCACCAAUCAUGCUUCACCGUAGAUAGUGAGCCACGAACCUCCACUUACAAGUUGAACUCGUCUUUAUAUUAUUGAAGGAUUUUCCAGCAA